UGCAUUGUGGCCAUGGUGUUUGGCUUGUUUGCUCUGCUUCUCAUCUUUUGUGGUUGUGGAGCUUCAUUUAGGUCUCAGGUAUACUCUUUGAGAUUAAGGAUCUCUCUUGCACUUGGCUGUUUGCAUCUCUAGGAUAUGCCUCUACACUACGGCUAGAAAGGUCAUCUUGGAGGGUCAGUGACGGUCAAUGACCUCUACAGCGGCNAGCAGCAUCUUUGGAUAUGAUAGAGCCGACUUGCUCUAUUUAUGGAGAUUAUUGGGUUCGC
rnacentral:misc_RNA from 1 species